AAGAAGAAGAGGAAGUUUCAAAAGACAGUGUAGAGUCAACAGCGUCAUCACUGGUUCACGUAGUUAGCUCAACAUAGACUAAACCAGUACUUCUCAAAUAGAGGGGGCGGGGCCCCCUGGGGGGCGUGGUGAGGUACCAGGGGGGCAUGAAGAAAUUUCUGCCCCCAAGGGCGGGGGGCAUAACAGAAAAAUGAUUGAGAACCACUGAACUAAACAGUUGCCCGGCUUCACUCUCGCCCCCCGGUGUAUCUGUUUUGGUACCUUUUUAAAUGUCCGUCAUUUCUUAUUUCCCAGCAGACUCACAGUGAGAGCGUGGGUGAAGGGUUAAUGAACGCUGUCAUGACUCAGCGUUAUUCACCCAGUUGUGUUGGUCAUUCUUCCUCUUUAGCAAAAAAAAAUUCUAAAAGACCAAGUGUGGUGUGAAGGACCCCAGGGCUGUCUGUGGACAUGCCUGCUGCAGCAGGUCUGAAAAACUGUGGAGACGCAUGAAAUGAAACGUGAAAGGCAUUAAAUUCAUGGACAGACUGGAAUAAACAAACAAAAAUCCAACCCAGAGUAAAUAACGUCUUUUAAUCGCUGUUUAAUUUAAAACCAACAUUUACUACAAACUAACCAGUACAAUCCUCAAGCACGAUGCAAUAAUGGAUACAGAUAAAAGUCGUAUGAAACCGUUUUUUUCAUAGCAUUGAUCAAAUAUAAAAAAAUGUACAAAACUGUUGACGUGAAAAAUGAGGAAAAUAAAAAAGGAAAUCCCUUUAAUAUUUCCAAGUAAAAAUAUACCUGAGGUACUGUUUCUAUAUGUGUUGAUAUGUGUUGGACUGAAACAUGUAAACAUAUAUUUUCAAGACAAUCAAACAGAGUAAAUAUUUCUUACGUUAAAUCCUUCAAAGUCAUUGAAAACCUUCAUAUAUAUAUAUAAAAAAAUCUAAUUUACAAACGUCACCAGACUGAGAGAGAGUUCAGGCACGAAGAGCUGCAGCAGAACUCACCGCGUCUUUGUCAACAAAUGUAGUUCUCGCAGCAGCAGCGACGUCGUCCACUGCCCUGGUCGUCCACUUCAACCACUUCAUUAACAGGAGCUCAAAGUUUGAUACGAAACACAGCAGUUUGAUAAUAACCAGGUCACUGAUAACCAGGUCAAUAAUAACCAGGUUAAUACUAACCAGGUCAGUAAUAACCAGGUCAGUGGUAACCAAGUCAAUAAUAACCAGGUUAAUAAUAACCAGGUCAGUGAUAACCAGGUCAGUAAUAACCAGGUUAAUAAUAACCAGGUCAGUAAUAACCAGGUCAGUAAUAACCAGGUCAGUAAUAACCAGGUCACUCAGGUCAAUAUUUACAGUAUAAACAACGCUAAGUCGACAACUACAUUUACAAAAUGUAAAAUAAAUACGUUGAUACAGUAUGUGUUGAAUAUGGCUGAUACUUCUUUCGUUACUUCUUUACUCUCAGUUUUACAGUACUGUACCAGGUCAUGUGAUCAAAGUAGCUUUGUGGAGUUAUUUCUACUUUACUACUUCAACUUCCCUCAGAAAGUUUCUUGAAUAUUUACUAUACAGUUACAUGUUGAAACAGGUCAGUACGUGGACGAUACAGCGAUUUACCCACGCAUUCACCAUCCUGUCGAGGUUGGUGUGAAAAAUAACACGUGACAGCGACGACAUUUUUUUUAAAUUCUAGCCACUAAACAACAGGAAACUGUAUUUGUCAGAAAAGGAAGUGUUGUUAUUUAUUUAUAUAUAUAUAUAUAUAUAUAUAUAUAUAAU